ACGCACGCUGGCGGCGUGCCUAAUACAUGCCAGUUGAGCGAUGAAGAUUGGUGCUUGCCCCAAUUUGAAGAGCAGCGAACGGGUGAGUAACGCGUGGGGAAUCUGCCUUUGAGCGGGGGACAACAUUUGGAAACGAAUGCUAAUACCGCAUAACAACUUUAAACAUAAGUUUUAAGUUUGAAAGAUGCAAUUGCAUCACUCAAAGAUGAUCCCGCGUUGUAUUAGCUAGUUGGUGAGGUAAAGGCUCACCAAGGCGAUGAUACAUAGCCGACCUGAGAGGGUGAUCGGCCACAUUGGGACUGAGACACGGCCCAAACUCCUACGGGAGGCAGCAGUAGGGAAUCUUCGGCAAUGGACGAAAGUCUGACCGAGCAACGCCGCGUGAGUGAAGAAGGUUUUCGGAUCGUAAAACUCUGUUGGUAGAGAAGAACGUUGGUGAGAGUGGAAAGCUCAUCAAGUGACGGUAACUACCCAGAAAGGGACGGCUAACUACGUG
rnacentral:rRNA from 1 species